GUGCUCACUUCAGCAGCACAAACACUAAAAUUAGAAAAAUACAGAGAUUAGCACUGCCACACACAAGGAUGACAUGCAACUUCAUGAAACAUUACAUCGUUUU
rfam:Myotis davidii contig32467, whole genome shotgun sequence.